AGGACGAACGCUGGCGGCGUGCUUAACACAUGCAAGUCGAGCGAGGCCCUUCCUUCGGGAAGGUGCCCUAGCGGCGAACGGGUGAGUAACACGUGGGCAAUCUGCCCCUAGCACUGGGAUAACUCCGGGAAACCGGGGCUAAUACCGGAUAUGACCUCUGAGGGCGUCCUCUGGAGGUGGAAAGGAUCCUGGCUAGGGAUGAGCCCGCGGCCUAUCAGCUUGUUGGUGGGGUAACAGCCUACCAAGGCGACGACGGGUA
rnacentral:rRNA from 1 species